AAUACACAAACUGCGAAUUUGAGAGCAUCGUCAUUCGUCAUCGAAAAUGGCCAAAAUUCAGAAAUAUGAAUGUUGCGAUCAUAGACUGUACUAGUGUACUACUAUAGUAUAAUAUGAUCUAAAGUCGCGAUGGUAGUCGUUUUUCGGGGACAUCGUCAAGAUGCGUGGAAUAAAAUAUGUAAUGUCUGCACGUACAAAGGAUCUGUGCUUGUCAACAGAUACACGUCGAUCGUCGAUGCAUCAUUUAAAGUAAUUUCGCAAAAUAUGGGAUAUCAACUUCAUAGUUCUUACACCGAGUCCUACGUGAAUCCGGCGAGUGCGUCGAAAAACAAAACAUUUUGUAUUUUGCCGAAUCGGACUCACCGCUCUGCAAGAUUGAAAAUUACAACAUUUGACCCAAUCAAACAAAAAACACCUUGUUACUGUAACUGAACUGAGCAAAUAACCAAAUGCAUAUAAGACAAUUCCAGACUUGCAAAUAAAUACGGCUUCAGAUAAAUUAAGUUUUGGCCAAAUAACCAUUUGGACAUUCCUUCUAUUUUAUUCUGAUGUAACUGCAUGAUUCGUUAAGUAUGAACAAAACCACAGAAAUUGGGACGUCAAAAAUGAUGAAUGUAGAAAUGCAGAAUAGCCACAGAUUAUUGUACUGCCACAUGAUUCAGAGGAAAGUAGGUCAGAAAUCUAACAGUUUAUGUCCUAUAUACCGUUAUAUCAGUCUCAUAAUAACCAACUACAGAUCUGCUCAAAAAGACGCUAUAUCCUAAAAAUGUUGAGAAGUUCAAUUUGAAUACAGCUGGUUUCACUAUAUACAAAAAAAAAGAACAUUUGACUCAAUUAAAUACAAAACACCGUGUUUCUGUAACAUAAUU